UCGCCAAGGGGUGCCGGAAACGGCUGAGAUCCACCGCGUGGGAACCCUUAAACCUGAUCCGGAUAAUACCGGCGUAGGGAUGGUUACAA
rnacentral:ncRNA from 1 species